rnacentral:snRNA from 1 species
AUUGCUUCUUGGCCUUUUGGCUAAGAUCAAGUGUAGUAUCUGUUCUUAUCAGUAAGGAGAGUAUGUAAUCCUACCAUAUGUUGCUUUUCUGCUGGUAACACAGUUGAGCCAGGACUGAUGGGGGUUGGAUAUCAACCUCUGGAAGUCCACAGGUU